GAUGAACGCUGGCGGCGUGCCUAAUACAUGCAAGUCGAGCGAACAGAUGAGGAGCUUGCUGCUCUGACGUUAGCGGCGGACGGGUGAGUAACACGUGGAUAACCUACCUAUAAGACUGGGAUAACUUCGGGAAACCGGAGCUAAUACCGGAUAAUAUAUUGAACCGCAUGGUUCAAUAGUGAAAGACGGUUUUGCUGUCACUUAUAGAUGGAUCCGCGCCGCAUUAGCUAGUUGGUAAGGUAACGGCUUACCAAGGCAACGAUGCGUAGCCGACCUGAGAGGGUGAUCGGCCACACUGGAACUGAGACACGGUCCAGACUCCUACGGGAGGCAGCAGUAGGGAAUCUUCCGCAAAGGGCGAAAGCCUGACGGAGCAACGCCGCGUGAGUGAUGAAGGUCUUCGGAUCGUAAAACUCUGUUAUUAGGGAAGAACAAAUGUGUAAGUAACUAUGCACGUCUUGACGGUACCUAAUCAGAAAGCCACGGCUAACUACGUG
rnacentral:rRNA from 1 species